UACGUAGGGUGCGAGCGUUGUCCGGAAUUACUGGGCGUAAAGGGCGCGUAGGCGGCUCGACAAGUCCCGCGUGAAAGCCCCCGGCUCAACUGGGGAACUGCGCGGGAAACUGUCGGACUUGAGUUCGGGAGAGGGAAGCGGAAUUCCGGGUGUAGCGGUGAAAUGCGUAGAUAUCCGGAGGAACACCGGUGGCGAAGGCGGCUUCCUGGACCGACACUGACGCUGAGGCGCGAAAGCUAGGGGAGCAAACAGG
rnacentral:rRNA from 1 species